CCUCUCAGAAAGCUUGGAUUCGCAGCGUCCACCCCAAAAAUCUAUUGGCCUAAGCAAAUUCUUCCAAACCCAGAAGAGCUGAGAAAAGGGCUGGAUAUGGCAGUGGGCUGCGGCAGGCUGCCAACCCAGCACUUGGAGGAAAAUACUCCCCUUUCCUACAGCCCUAAGGGGGUGGGAUAAAUACGUGGCUAUCUCUAGUUCCUCAUGUAUUAUUUCUACCUCUCUGCCUAACAUCUAUUUAUCUCUGGUUUUCCACCCCACAUGUCUAGGGCAUGGCUUUUACAUUCAGUCACACUAGUGAAGACAUGUGAUUACCCAUUUUCUCCUACCCAAAAUAAUCUCUCUUUCUCCCUCUCUCUGUCUGUCUCUGUGAAGCAAAUUGCUCUUUGCCGGUAAGGAAAGUAUUAAAGGUACCAUAGCAAUGGCAGCUCCUUUUUGGGGAUACGCUGGGGUGCUACAAAAGAUCUCUAAAAUUUGGCAGCAUCUCCAUGAAGGCAGCCCAGAUGGCUGAUGUUAGCAAGCAGUGGGGAAUGAAAGGUCUGAUAGGAAUCUGAGGGUGCCAGCCCUUGAGAAACCGAUUUGUAGAGAGUCAAAACCCAUUUUGGUGGUGCUGCUGCUUUUUUGGGUCAACGUUAUGCUCCAGAAUUCCUUAUUUUAGGGCAGCAGCACAACGAAGCCUUGGGCAGCAUCUGCUGCACCUUUCCCAGUACAUGGGACUGUGAUUGGUGUUACCAGUCACAGCUAGAAGAUCUGCCUUCUGAUUCCCCAGUGGGAGACAAGCCAUACCAACUUGCAGAGCAAGCCAAAUAAUUGUUGAUUAGACACUUCUUUUAGAAUGGAGUGUUCUGUCCUUUUAGCUGUCCUGGUAAUAUAGGCCAAAUCAGUUACUAGAUUAAAAGGUUGUUGAUCUAGAUUAAAAGGAAUUUUUUUAAUGCUCUGACAUCAGCAGCCAACUCAGGAAUUUGGGGGGUUCCUUCAAUGACUUGAACAUCCGACUCCCACUUCUGAGUGUUUGGAUCCUUCCAAGUGAUAACCGAUUUGUGUGAUUUUCCAGAGCCAUCUGUAAAAACUGUGAGGGCUUUAAGAGGAACCUUACCUUUUAGAGAAUUUGGGACUAGAUGGAAUAUUUGUUUUAGUAGCUUGUGUUUUGGAUAAUGAAUAGAGACUUGUCCAGGAUAGCUGUCUAAAGCAAACUGAAGGUGUUCAUUUGUCUGUAAUAGGGAUUCUAAUUUCUGUAGCUGAAAUGCUACAUAAAUGUAUGUUGGGUCACACGCUGCAGGGGUUCGGAGGCGGUUCCGGCCCUUAAUGAUUAAUUGAGCUAAAAGCUCUUGAGGGAUUGUAAUAGUUUUUUUUGGUGUGGCAAAAAUACCUAUUCUAUAAUUAACAAUUUUUCUGUAGAAGACGGGUCCCACUGAAAAAGCAGUGCCUGGAAAUGUGGGGAUUUACCAAGAAUAGCAAACUGGGAGGUUAGAGAGCGGUCAACGCGGUGUGCUUUUCGAGAUGAGAUAGCAGGUGCUACCUUUCGCAGUGCGUCGUGGGCAUCGGGAGUUAAGAUGCGCUGGGAAGUCAGGUCAUGGCUCCCCUUCAGUAGGCUGAACAAAGGGCACAGCUCUUCUCUCGUGAGUCCAAGCAGUGGUCGGAUCCAGGUGAUGGAGCCACACAACUGUUGUAUAUCCCUUAGCAUUUGAGCGUUAUCUUUGAUGGAGACACUUUGGGGAGUAAUGGCUGGCUGACUGAUUAGGAAUCCAAGGUAUUUCCAUGGGGAGGUGUACUGGGUUUUUCAGGAGCCAUAUCAACACCUGCAUCUUAACUGCUGUCAUAGUCUUUCUGAUUGCUGUGUUAAGGUAAGUCUUGUCUUGGGAGAAAAUUAAAAUGUCGUCCAUGUAAUGUAGAAUUAUAGCUUCAGGGAAGGCUUUCCUGAUUGGAGAUAGAAUCCCAGCCACAAACAUUUGACAUAAAACAGGGGAAGUUUUCAUUCCCUGUGUCAAUGUGACCUAAUGAUAUCUUUUAAAGGGUUCUUGACAGUUGAUGAUUGGUAUCGAAAAUGUGAAUUUGGGAGUGCAGGACAGAGAGGGAUGUUGAAUAAAGUCUUUGGUAUCAAGGAUUGUGAGCUGCCAGUCCCUGGGAAGCACAGAAGGUGAGGAGAGGCCUGGCCGCAAGGGGCCCAUGUCUUCUAAAACAUCAUUUACUUUCCAAAAGUCUUGUAAUAACCUCCAUCUGUCUUUGCCAGGAUUUUUAUAAAAAGACAGGGGUCAGGGACUAGUUGAUGGUACAAUGUGUCCUUUUAAUAAUUGUUCUCGCACUAGGGCGUGGAGUGCUUCUAAUUUGUCUUUUGGAAAGGCCCAAUGAUCCACCCACACAGGAUCAUACCCACAGGGAGGGAUCAUACCUUUUCCCACAGAUGGACAACAGCCAUAUUGAGUGGUUUAGUUUUAAUUUCUUUUUAAUUCCCAAGGUUUCUUUUUUUUCAACAUUGUAAUACAGCAUCUCUAUUCAAAUCAUUAUACUCUCCUUGGUUAAUUAAAUAUUUAUUAAUUUAUUUUCCCCCCAUAAUAUCAGAAUGGGACAAAAGCAUAGGAAGAACAACAAGCAAUUACAGAAAUACAGAAUCUUCCCUGAGAAUCCCUUGGGAACCAUGUUAAAACAAUGGGAAGGACAUCAGCUUAUAAAGACCCACAGCUGAAGAUUGUGCAUUGCAUGUUUGAAUGGCCAAAGAAGAAAUUAAAACAAGGUCUUCGCUGGCCGAAGCAUGGGUCUACCGGGAUGCAGAUUUGCAAAGUACUUCACAAUUAUGUCCAAAAUAAAUUAACUGCAGACACAAUUGAAUUGCAAUAUGUGGAGGUCUGGUUUAAAUAUUGGAACAUCAAAAACGAAGUAGAAACAGAUAAAACAAACCAAAUUCUCUCUGUAACGAUCAAUGAUAAAGACACAACAAGGAAAACCAAUCAGCCAAGGUGGGUCCUAUUAAAUUUCCUCCCCGCUACUGCACCUCCUAACGAACCAGCUGCAGUUGCAGCUGAGUUGUUGGAGGCUUCAAAUGAGUCAUGUAACUGAGAGGGCUGAAGAAGUUGAAGUAGAGGUGGACAUCAGAAGAAACAUAUAAUCUAUCAUCCUCCUCCAGGCAAAUUACAAAUUCAGCCAUGCAGGAAGUUCCAUCCAAUCAAGAAGGUCCAGCCUUCUUCACUCGAAGGAGAACCCUGGCAGUACAAAAAUGUUCCUCCUGCUUCAGCAGUAAAGAUAAAACAAAGGUGCCACCCCUCAGAGAGGUCCCAAUGGGGGGUGCACAAGGUGGAAUAGGACAUGGAAAUGCACCCCUCACCUCUUCAGAAGUGAGGCAUUUUAAAAAGGAAAUGGAGAUAUCAUUCAGUGACCCAGUAGGUUUGUCAGAACAAUUUGACCAAUUCUUAGGGCCUAGGAUUUACCCUUGGGGAGAAUUAAAUUCAAUCAUGCAAACCUUUUCUCUCCAGAGAAGAGAAAAGUUAUUUAGACUGCAGGGAUCAAUAUAUUGUACAGAGAACAUAAUUUAGGACCAACUGGAGAGAAGAAAUUACCAUUAACAGAUCCAGAAUGGAACCCUAACUCAGAUGAGGGAAGAAAAAGUAUAGCAGAAUACAGAACCCGAAUUUUAAGGGGAAUAAAAGAGGCAGUCCCCAGAGUUAAUAACAUGAAGAAAGCCUUUGGUGAUGAACAAGAAAAAGAUGAGAGCCCAACUGACUGUAUAAUUCGCUUAAGUAAUAACAUCCAAUUAUAUUUAGAAAGAGAUUUAGAUAGUGAAGGAGGGAAGACAAUGUUCUAGGUCCACUUUGUGUUACAUUCUUGGCCUGACAUAAAACGGAAAUUAGAGAAAUUAGAUGCAUGGCCAGAAAGAAGUUUAGAUGAGUUAUUAGCUGAAGCACAAGAAGUUUAUGCCAGGUGAAAUGAAGAGAAAAUGAAGACUAAAGCUAAGAUGAUGGCUGCUGUCCAAAUUCCUAAACCAAUUAGGCAGGAUGGGGAGAAUAUUAAAUUAAAGAAACCUAUUUGCUUUUAUUGUAAGAAAGAAGACCAUAUGCAAUCCUGCUGUUUUAAGACAUUGAGGGACUUAAGAGAUUCUCCGAGUGGACAAUCAGCCCUCAGAGAAUUGAAGGGGUCAGGAGCUUUUCUUCUUGGGGCACAAAAUCCAUCUUCAAGAGCCCUUGAUAAAAUCAAGGAUAGGACUCCUAGAACAAUUAAUGGAAUUAUUAGUAGACACAGGAGCAGAGACAACUUGUGUAAUUGAAAAACCAAAUGCAUGUGCCAUAAGCAAAGACACUUCCAAUAUUUGUGCUGUUAAAGGGGAAUCCUUUCCCAUUCCCAUCAUUAAGAAUGUCACUAUAAAGGGUAACGGACUAACCAGAAAGGGAGAUUUGUUUUUCUGCCUCCAGCAGGUAACAACUUACUUGCUCGGGAUCUCCAGAUACCUUUGAAAGUUGGAGUAGUUCCACAAGAAGGAAGGAUGAAGGUCAAAUUGUUUACUUUAUCCACACAAGAUGAACAACUGAUUAAUCCUACAGUGUAGGCCCGACCAGAUUCUCCUUCUAGACACCUGUUUGCCUUCACCUGGGAAGAUCCAGACACUGGAAGGAAACAGCAGCUCACCUGGACCUGGCGGCUGCAAGGGUACAUGGAGUCUCCCACACUCUUCAGUCAGGUCAUCAAAAGGGAUCUCUGGAGAAACUAGAGGAAACAUCCUAGCAGACCAUGCUGCAAAGGAGGCUGCUUUUGAGGGGGAAGUAAAGGAGAAACAACAUGAAUAGAACCAAGGCCAGUUCGAGGAAGGACUUUCCUGCAUUUAGGUCCCUUCCUGCAUCCAGGUACACUCCCAUGACAACCAAGGGGUUCGAACCCAGGAGAAAAACCAGAGAGCUUGAAAGGUCUGCACCACCUAUCAGAGAGUACCACGGCACUUCAAUCUUCCCACUGAUCCCUGAGCGAGGGAAGGGAAGGUUGAACUGGUAACUUGAUGCCACAGCAAUGGUGCAUACUAAUGAGAGAGCUUCCCAUCAAAAACCUCAGAGAGAUCAUCCCACCCCAGUGACAGCACACUCUGGGAAAGAAGAUCUUACCUCAUCAUCUACUAGCACCAAUCACCUGAGACUAUGGGGGCAGAACUGCAAGUACAGACUGAGGGGACCGAGAACAUCAAAGGGGCAGCCUGGCCUGAAGAGCUGUCUUUGCUGUCUUUUACUGUUCCUGGGACUGUGACUUAGCUACAGCAGGGGACCCCACACUGCAGAUUUCAGUCAGUAUCUCUUUUUAGAGACCUUUUUCCAGAUUUGAGGGCAGACUAAGUACAUUCACUGCAAUGCCCUUGGGUUCUGGCCUUGGGGCCAGAGGCCAGUUCAGCUAGAGAUUUCCUCAAUCCUUGGGCUUGGGACUUUAUCCUUUUUUUCUUUCUUUCCUUUCUUCUUUUUCCUUACCUCCCUUUUUGUUUUUCCUCUUUAAAUAAACACCCUAUUUUU